UUAGAGUAUCCUCUCUGGGUCAGUGGACCCAAAUGCGACCCAUCAGUGGCAGUGUCAGUCUGUCGUUUCAGUCCAGUGUUUGUAGAGGGUAGAUACCUUCCAGCUGACCUUGUGGUUCUAGAUUUGACAGAUUUUGAUGUCAUUCUAGGGAUGGAUUGGUUAUCUACAUAUAGUGCGACUUUGGACUGUAGAGAGAAGAUAGUGAGUCUCAGAGACCAGGAUGGGUCAGAGUGUGUCUUCAGAGGAGACAGGAGAGGUCCACUCAGAGGUAUGAUUUCAGCCCUUCAGGCUCG
rnacentral:lncRNA from 1 species